UACGUAGGGUGCAAGCGUUAAUCGGAAUUACUGGGCGUAAAGCGUGCGCAGGCGGUGAUGUAAGACAGUUGUGAAAUCCCCGGGCUCAACCUGGGAACUGCAUCUGUGACUGCAUUGCUGGAGUGCGGCAGAGGGGGAUGGAAUUCCGCGUGUAGCAGUGAAAUGCGUAGAGAUGUGGAGGAAUACCGAUGGCGAAGGCAGCCCCCUGGGAUAACACUGACGCUCAUGCACGAAAGCGUGGGGAGCAAACAGG
rnacentral:rRNA from 1 species